UUUUCCUGUCAGCAACUCUUAUUACUUCAUUUUCUCUUCAGUGGUUAUUCAGAUUUAGCAGUUAGAAAUUCUUUGCUGUUUAGCUCUGGAGUUUUCAGUUGUGUAAAUGGUAGGGAAACUGGAGUCCCUGAAGAAGUACUUCCUUCCUCAACAUGCUGAUAAAGAGACCAAUUCAGAUCCUUUUCUUCAAAGCAGCACACUUCAACAGUUGAAAUGUGUUUUUUCAGAGACCAUACUGGAAAUAAAUGUCUGCUUUUCCCAUUUUCUACAGCCUGUGACUACAGUGAUUCCACCAUCCCAGAAGUGACUGCUGCUCUGCUCUGGGCUCUCGGUACCUGCCAGUGCCAGGAGUGCUCUCAUGGCACUUGUGGUGUCAAUCAUCUGUAUGCCUGUGCAUUUGAAUCAGAACACAGAUGUUCAGAUACUCUUCUGAGUAUUCAAUCAGCUGCUGACAUUAUGGAGCUAUUAUGUGACUCUGUGAAGUCACAGAAAAGAAGCAUGGUGAAUCACAAGGUAUUACUCAUUUUCAAAUGUGAUCUGGUAUGAGAACCAUCCUACCAAAACCCACCACUGCUGUUUAUAUAGAAAAUAUUGGUAACAUCCUUGCCACUACUCUUUGUCUAAGAAGGUACUUUAUCUUGCUAUGAAUUGCAGUAAAAACAUUUCAAAACAUUUUGAAUCUGUUCACUGCAAAAAUGAAAAAGCAAUUAAGUAACCCAAAGUCAGGUGUUAGUGGUUCCAGAGUGUCACAGCUGCUUAAACACUCCUGCUGUAUAAGAAACUCACUUUUAAAAUGACCACACCAUCUAAAAGAGCAAAGGAGAGAAGAAAAAGAGGAGGAUGGGAAGGAAAGCCUCUUUCCCACAGAAAAGCAACACUAGCUAAGCACAAGGAUAAAAUACCAUAACCCUGCCAGUGACUUUAGAUUUACAGGAGCUGGGUCUGAAUCAGAAUGGAGCGAAACACGAAUAGUUUUGUGUUCUACCUCAUGCUGACAGUUCCCACUGCAGGAAGAAAGGAGAAUGUAUUCAUCAAAAUGUGUAGGAAUCUUGUAAAUAUUGAGAUUUGGACUUGUAGCAUUCUCCGCAAUGUGUUGUCAGGGAUUUGGAAAUUGUACAACCAGUGGGGCAGCCAUGGAUGGCUGAUAUUCCUGGAUAAGCUGAGGCAUCCCUCUGGUGCCUUCUGCCAGCUGCUGGGCACUGUUGCUGCUGGGCUCUCUGGAGGCUGAGUGGAUACACCAGAGGAACCACAUUGUGGACCAUAACACAUGGAACUCUCUGUCCAGCCUUCUGUUUUGUAUUUGCAGGGAAGGGACCAGCUUUACCAGUUUUCCCAUGUGGUCUGUGAUGAAAGAAGAGUUCUUACUGAAACAAAUGUGACACCUGACUGCAGUGGUUGCCGUGAGAGAGAAAUUGUGUGGUCAGUAAGAUAACUCCUUGCCUCAUUCAACCACUUAUGUCACUGGAAAUGCCUGCUAAACUGCCAUUUCUUGAGGGGAAGUGAAUAGUUGAGAAGGAAAAUGGCCAAGCUCAACAGCACAAAUUAUAUAAUUGCAGAACAUGUUAAAGAGAGAUUAUUGAGUGAAAUGGGCUGGAUGAUUUACUUCAAAUCUGCUCAGUAAAGAUUUUACACUGAGAAACAUGGGACAGUGCCAAGGUUAAUCACUUGCAUUGCUUGUCCAUAGCAAACACUCCCUGCGUAGACAUCUAUCUGCUCUUUAGAACAAAGAAACUAUAGAGUGUAAUCACAGAGGAAGAAUGAAAGAUCAAACCCUCUGUAUCAUAUAUUCAAUACAAAAAUAUAUUAUUUUACAUUGCCACAUGUCACUAAUGAAACCACGAAGUUAACACAGCAUAAGCAGAACAGCACACCAUCUCCUACAUGGAGUUUGCAUUUUAAAUCACUCUAGGGCAUGUCUUUAUAUGUAAUAAAAUUUGUAGAACCUAACUAAGAGGUGUUUUAUAAGUCAAAAGUGUUUCUGCAUGAUUACACUGCUUAUUAAAGAUGCAAAAGAUUGAACUGCUCUUCCAGAUUGUUUGAUUUCUUUAAGACUAUUUGACAUAAUUCUUUAUGGCUGGUUUCAGGUUCGCCAGGGAAAAUACAAUCAGCACUUUCAAAAGUUUCUUGAAUAAUAAAAUUUGGUACAAUGCCAGAGACUCCAUCUGGUCAAGAAGGGAAAUUAUAUUAGCUGGAUUCUAGACAGUGUUAGGGAAACAGAAGACUGAUGCAGCCAAUUUCACAGAGGCAUAUAUGUUAAUUCCAUUGUUUAUAGCAAUUGUCAAAUUCAGUCCUGGUUUAUGAAGACUUAAGCAUUUUUAAAAUUUAUUAAGUGCCUGCAACAGUUAAGGCAUAUUUUGCAGGUUAUCUUGUUGUCAGAAAAAAUGGUCAUAUUAGUCACAUUUCUGCAUAAUUGAUAUUCACAGUAUAAGAAAUGUUAUCUUUCAAUAACCGGCUGCUUUUGAAAUAUUCAUUGGUCAUGAAGAACAGAGGAAUGCAAGAAGGAACAAAGACCUUGGAUAUUGCUAUAACAGAUUUAUCAUAUAAAUUCAGAAAGUAUUUUGAAGUAAUUUUAAAUUAUAAGUUAUCAGAGGAUUUAUUUUAAUGUUCUAGACAUAGAUAAGAAUUUUUAAAAAAUUAAUAACAAUUUCUUGUUUACAAAGGCAAAAAGUAGAUUUUUGUUUUAAAAUAUAUUUGAAAAACAUAUGACCAUACAAACAAAAGCUUUGGAGGAAAAUACCUCUGUUUCUCUUACUUUUGAAAUCUUCACCAAGAUGCAGAAUUUACGAUUUUGAUAAUACAAAUUAUGGAGUUUGCUUAUCACGUUAGGCCUGCAUAUUUGAAGUCCCCUUCCAGAUAAUAUCACGGUAAAAGAGAACGGUGAGGAAGAAACAUCUCACCUGUGGAAAACCAUGUUCCCUGUGGAGUCCCUGUGGCGCUUUUCCAGUAGAAAUGAUUCUCAGCUGUUAUACCUUAAACACACAUGGGCUGGUCAAGCAGGGAGAAGCUACACACUAAAGAAGCACUUGGGAAUGAUUUGUUCUUUCAGCCUUUUGCUACCAAGGAUGAUAAAGAAUAGAUUAAUCUGGGGACAUUUAAUGAUUAGGGGUCCUUGACUAUGUAAUACACAUAUGGAGAUACAUCUGAACUCUGUUUAAUACAUUUCUAGCAGUGGAGGGCUUAUCCCACACAUUUUACCUUUGUGCAAUCCUCUCAGCUGCCAUUUUUUCCCUAAAAUCAGGGUGAGUAGCAGGGUUGGCAGACUUGAGGCAUGUUUCUGCUUGCAAUUUCUAGCAUAACUUAGGCUUUUUCCUUCUGUAUGAAUUAUACACAGGGGCUUCCUCAAAAAUAUGGAACCCUGCUGCCUUCACACCUGUGCCUGAUGACCACCUCUGCCAAAAGCCCAGCCCUGUGUUGAGACAGCAGUAUUUGAACACCAGGGUCAUACUUUAUAUAGCUGAUGAAAUGACCUUAUAGAGAUAGGCUUCAUUAUGAACAAACUGUUAAUUCUUUAAUCCUUUUAUGUGUCCCCAAAAGUCAUCAAAGAAAAUGUGGCUGCAACCAACACCAGCUCUAAAGAAGGCAAAGAAUUUCCUUUUUCAAUAAGCAGUGAUGCCUGGAAAAGGCAGCUCUUAGCCAUGCCCUAAGAGGAUGUGUGGUGCCCAAUCAUAACUGAGCUUAGUGUUUCU
ensembl:lncRNA